rnacentral:rRNA from 1 species
UACAGAGGGGGCAAGCGUUGUCCGGAAUUACUGGGCGUACAGCGCGCGCAGGCGGUUACUGACGUGCCGUGUGACAAGCGGGGCUCAACCCCGAGGGCCACGGUAACGGGCGACUGGAGGUAGGGAGAGGGAUGUGGAAUGCCCGGUGGAGCGGUGAAAUGCGCAGAUAUCAGGAGGAACACCGAUGGCGAAGGCAGGUCUCUGGGCCAUAACUGACGCUGAGAAGCGAAAGCAUGGGGAGCGAACAGG